ACCUAUCUAUAUACUAUAUUUUCCCAUGGCUAGAAUUGUCAUUUCUAUACAAAUUUUUAAGAUGGCAUACAAAGAGUCAAUAUAAAAUGCAUAAAUUUUUACCAAUUUCUUCCGUUACUACCCCUCUUCCCUUUUAUCUUUACUAUACUCGUUGAAUACCUACACUAAAUUUGGGAUCUGCUUAGCCAUCAAUGUGACUCUUCAAAGGCAGCAAUCAAUGUAACUCUUCAAAAGGCAAAUGGUUCACCAUCUCUAAUCGUCUCUUUCACUUUCCCCACACAUCCGAAACUCACCACAAUCAACCAUUACCAUCUCCUCUCCAAUGAAUCGGCAAGUGAAGCUUAAAAGUUAUUGAAUCGGACAGUAAUCUUCUUUAAGAAAGGCUUCAAUCCCUCUAUCUAUGAUAUCGGUUUUGAAGUUCAUGUGGUGGCGCUCAGUUUUUGGUGGAACGCAACCAAGACUCAGAUGAUGAUUGCCAUUCGAACACAUAUUAAAGACAGGUCCUGUGGGUGAAUCGGGGAGAAGGGAGAUGGUAGAAGCCCUAGCCGCCGUCGGAUGGUUCCGGUUGAUACAUGUAAUCUUCAUGCCUGUCUUCUUUGAGAAUACGUGUGUGUGUUUUUUCAUAAUUGGCCAGCGAAAAAGGGUCCGUUAGGGACGAUAUGGAUCGUGGCGCAUCUCGAGAGGAGGCUUAGGAAAAAUCAGGUUGCUGAUACUGAUAUUGGUGUCUCUAUAGGUGUAGUCUUGCAAGCAAUAUUGCUAGAAUGGAUGGCGGGAUCACCGAAAGUUGCAAACAUGUAAAAGACGGUUUUUCCCAGUAUUUUUAGCAUUGUUUGAUGCUCUUCUGAUCCGUUCUCAGGUAGAUGAUUCAACAUAUAUUUGUGAGACUGCAACAGGGGACUUGCCGGAUGGCCUUGUGCAGUUUAGGUUGAAUUUACUCGAGGUUUUGGUCGACAUUUGCCAGCUUUUAAAUUCCGUUGUAUUUUUGCAAAAGACACCGAGUUUUUGCCCAAACAUUUAUCAUCUCAUUAUGUACCAUGUCCAGGUUAGCAGGUGAGGACUCAGUGUUUGCGACAAUCAGGAAUCAUCUUCCUUGAUUCAGCCAGCACAUUUUCGUGUUCAAAUAAAUCGUUAGAUUGAAAUUUGUAUUUAGCACAUUUUCCUGUUCAAAUAAAUCGUUAGAUUGAAAUUUGUAUUUUUUUAUUAUUGCAGUUUUCUUGUGUGUUGGACGUUUGCUUUUUUUUUUUUUUUUUGCGUAGGGUGAAAACUAAUGCUCUCUCACUUUCUCUUUUUAUCCGGUUCUCACAGUUGUCAACAUUGGUUUUGAAACGAACCCUCUUAUAUGUAUAUUUAGUUUAGCAAUUUACUAAUGCUAUUUUAUGGUAAUUAUAUGAAUUUUCUCUAACGAAUAGAUUCUGAGGUGACGCAAGAAGUGAACAACCCGCAGCAGCUCCUGCAACGGCAAAGGACGACAGGCCAGCAAAAUCUACUUUCAAGUCUACCGCAGUCAUCACAGAAGUUAAUUGGUCAAUACACCAUGACAUAUGUUUUUGGUCAAAAUUCGAACAUGAAGAACCUUCAAAAUAUGUCUGGUGCUGUUGGUGACCUCACAAAGGAAUCUGAUAAUUGGAGGGCUCAACUGCAAGCAGAUGCACAUGAAAGGAGCGUGAGUGGAUAACUUGAAGAUGCAUCUUCCGUACCGGUAACGAAAUGAACCGGACCGAUACCAACCAAACAUCGGUACCGGUUCGGUAUUAUUACUCAUCGAUCAGGUAAUGAUUCUGACUUAUUCUGUCCGUAUACGCUCAAAACUCAACCGAACGAACUGACUCGUGCAACCCCUAAUAUCAUCAAUCUAAGUGUUGUGCUCCCGCCACAUAGGACUAAACUUAAGUUAAUGAUUUUUAUCAUCUUUUACUUUUACUGUAAUUUUUCUUUUUUCCAACUUUGUUAUAAACUUAUGAUUAGGAUCUAAUGCACUUCUUGCAAUUUUUCAUAUU